rnacentral:rRNA from 1 species
GGCGGACGGGUGAGGAAUACAUCGGAAUCUACUCUGUCGUGGGGGAUAACGUAGGGAAACUUACGCUAAUACCGCAUACGACCUACGGGUGAAGCAGGGGAUCUUCGGACCUUGCGCGAUUGAAUGAGCCGAUGUCGGAUUAGCUAGUUGGCGGGGUAAAGGCCCACCAAGGCGACGAUCCGUAGCUGGUCUGAGAGGAUGAUCAGCCACACUGGAACUGAGACACGGUCCAGACUCCUACGGGAGGCAGCAGCA